AGAUUGAACGCUGGCGGCAGGCCUAACACAUGCAAGUCGAGCGGUAGAGAGGUGCUUGCAUCUCUUGAGAGCGGCGGACGGGUGAGUAAUGCCUAGGAAUCUGCCUAGUGGUGGGGGAUAACGUUCGGAAACGGACGCUAAUACCGCAUACGUCCUACGGGAGAAAGCGGGGGACCUUCGGGCCUCGCGCCAUUAGAUGAGCCUAGGUCGGAUUAGCUAGUUGGUGAGGUAAUGGCUCACCAAGGCGACGAUCCGUAACUGGUCUGAGAGGAUGAUCAGUCACACUGGAACUGAGACACGUCCAGACUCCUACGGGAGCAGCAGUGGGAAUAUUGGACAAGUGGGACGAAAGCCUGAUCCAGCC
rnacentral:rRNA from 1 species